rnacentral:rRNA from 1 species
AAGAAUUUAAAGGUCGAACAGACCUAUAAACUAAACUGCUGCAUUUAGUCAUUUUCUUAGUCCAACAUCGAGGUCGCAACCCCCUCUUUCGAUAUGAACUCUCAAGAAGGAUUACG